rnacentral:rRNA from 1 species
UUUCCUACGGGACGCAGCAGUGGGGAAUAUUGGACAAUGGGGGGAACCCUGAUCCAGCGACGCCGCGUGAGUGAAGAAGUAUUUCGGUAUGUAAAGCCCUAUCGGCAGGGAAGAAAUUGGACGGUACCUGACUAAGAAGCCCCGGCUAACUACGUGCCAGCAGCCGCGGUAAUACGUAGGGGGCAAGCGUUAUCCGGAUUCACUGGGUGUAAAGGGAGCGUAGACGGCCAUGCAAGCCUGGAGUGAAAGCCCGGGGCCCAACCCCGGGACUGCUCUGGAAAC